GUAGGGUGCGAGCGUUAAUCGGAAUUACUGGGCGUAAAGCGUGCGCAGGCGGUUCUGAAAGUCAGCUGUGAAAGCCCCGGGCUUAACCUGGGAAUUGCGGUUGAAACUACAGGGCUAGAAUCUGGCAGAGGGGGGUGGAAUUCCACGUGUAGCAGUGAAAUGCGUAGAGAUGUGGAGGAACACCGAUGGCGAAGGCAGCCCCCUGGGCUGAGAUUGACGCUCAGGCACGAAAGCGUGGGGAGCAAACAGGAUUAGAUACCCUGGUAGUCCACGCCCUAAACGAUGUCAACUAGGUGUUGGGAGCGCAAGUUCUCAGUACCGCAGCUAACGCGUGAAGUUGACCGCCUGGGGAGUACGGUCGCAAGAUUA
rnacentral:rRNA from 1 species